AUUGAACGCUGGCGGCAGGCCUAACACAUGCAAGUCGAGCGGAUGAAGGGAGCUUGCUCCUGGAUUCAGCGGCGGACGGGUGAGUAAUGCCUAGGAAUCUGCCUGGUAGUGGGGGAUAACGUCCGGAAACGGGCGCUAAUACCGCAUACGUCCUGAGGGAGAAAGUGGGGGAUCUUCGGACCUCACGCUAUCAGAUGAGCCUAGGUCGGAUUAGCUAGUUGGUGGGGUAAAGGCCUACCAAGGCGACGAUCCGUAACUGGUCUGAGAGGAUGAUCAGUCACACUGGAACUGAGACACGGUCCAGACUCCUACGGGAGGCAGCAGUGGGGAAUAUUGGACAAUGGGCGAAAGCCUGAUCCAGCCAUGCCGCGUGUGUGAAGAAGGUCUUCGGAUUGUAAAGCACUUUAAGUUGGGAGGAAGGGCAGUAAGUUAAGACCUUGCUGUUUUGACGUUACCAACAGAAGAAGCACCGGCUAACUUCGU
rnacentral:rRNA from 1 species